AACAAACAAAACCAGAAGGCCUCAAGAGGGUCUAUGGCUAGACCUGGGCCCUGAAUCCCAGAUUCAUUCUGUAGUUCUGAAGUUGUAUGCAUCUGCUAGGAUGCCCCUAAGGCAGCAGUGUUGUGGACUCUAGUUUAGUCUUCUGUGUGUUCAUUUAAAGACCCAGGGGCUUCCUUUUGUCUCCGUUGGUAGCCUGUGCAACUGGGAUCCUCAACCCUCACCUUUCCUUGCUUCUUAGCCCAAAUAUACUCACUAUGGGGGAAUCCCAAGGUGUUCUUAGGGACAGGCAUAGGCAGGGCCUGUUCUAGAUAUUUCUAGUGAGUGUGCAGGCUGAGCUGGGCCCUCUCUGCCCAGGCUUGCCUGUGUCCUGACUUGCCUUCAGUGGAAAGUAGAACUCUCUAAACCAGUUUUUCCCCAGACCCACAUUCUGCUAUGAAAGACUUCAUCCUAACCUCUGUGAGGGGGUCCUUGACUCAGAGGUAAGGAGAUGAUAGGCAGGGGAAUCAUGGCAAGAGAACAUAGAAUAGGUAUGAGCCUGGUAUUGAGUGGAUCAGGAAAAACUUGACAGAAAUGGCUUGUGAAGAUGCAGAGUGUGAUCCUAUCUCUCAGUGAUGAAGGUGACAGGAGAGACCUUACUCAGGGUUGGGAAGGGAGAAUUAAAGGGGUUGUUGGUAAACAUACCUGGGCAAGGAUGGAUCCAGAGUUCUGGACAGUCUUUAUUAUCAUUAGUGGAUUUUUUUUUUUUUUUGUAAUCAUAGAAACAAACCAAAAGCAAUGUUACUGUGUUGGAUGUUUUCUGUUCUAGGUGCAGCUUUGUGUGUGUGGAAGAUUGUGCUAUAUGCUGUGUAUCUGGCCUCAAAGAGUGGAGGAGAUGGUUCUUGGACCCUGUAUGCCUUCUACCUCGAAGCAUUCAUCAUCAGCCACAAGCAACCGAAUUUCAUCUGUAGCUCCUCUUCCUCCUGCAUUGUUUAUCAGAAGUCCAAGGUACUGUUGCCAAUGCAGUCAGAUGUACUUUGGGAGACUGGGGCUCUGGUGUUGAUAGUUGUGGGGUACACUCUUACGAUCACAGCAAAUCGACUUCUGUGUAUCAUUUUGUGUAAAUUAAUGAUUUCUCAGAAGUGGGCCUUAUAAAUGAGUCUUCAUAAUUGUGAAACUCAAGGAGUGAUGAUGAGGAUAUUCUACUCUCCCCAACAUCCACAAAAGAAGAGGCCAUUCUGCUGUAAAUCUGUCUAAGAUCCUAAUGUAAGAUACCCUUCACAAUAUCAGUCUUUUCUCCUGUGUAACAUAGAGACUUUUAUGGACUGUUAGGGUUGCUGUAUUCUGUGAAAAUAAUCUCUCCAACAUAAUCUUUCACUGGUUGUUGUAGUUGAUAUUUCAUACCCUGGUAAUAAUGUGAUUAUUUCCCUGUUACUAAGCAGCAUAAAUACUUGCAAGUGUGCAUGUUUGGUGGAAAAAUAAUAAUAAAAAUUCUUGUGUUAC